rnacentral:rRNA from 1 species
ACUCCUACGGGAGGCAGCAGUGGGGAAUAUUGCACAAUGGGGGAAACCCUGAUGCAGCCAUGCCGCGUGUGUGAAGAAGGCCUUCGGGUUGUAAAGCACUUUCAGUAGGGAGGAAGGUAGUGUAGUUAACACCUGCAUUAUUUGACGUUACCUACAGAAGAAGCACCGGCUAACUCCGUGCCAGCAGCCGCGGUAAUACGGAGGGUGCGAGCGUUAAUCGGAAUUACUGGGCGUAAAGCGCAUGCAGGCGGCCUGUUAAGUCAGAUGUGAAAGCCCGGGGCUUAACCUCGGAAUUGCAUUUGAAACUGGCAGGCUAGAGUCUUGUAGAGGGGGGUAGAAUUUCAGGUGUAGCGGUGAAAUGCGUAGAGAUCUGAAGGAAUACCAGUGGCGAAGGCGGCCCCCUGGACAAAGACUGACGCUCAGAUGCGAAAGCGUGGGGAGCAAAACAGGAUUAGAUACCCUAGGUAGCACAGAG